UUUUCUUCAGUCUGUUGUGUUGAACUGUAUGUUUCUCUCACUUGAUUUCUAGACUUUUUUGGGGGGCUUUUUCUGUUUGGCCACUUGCUGCUAGGAUUUCUUGGAAUUAAUUUUUUUUCACCUGCAAAAUGAAUUUUCUGUUUCUACAAUGCAGGCAGGCAGGCACUCCCAUGGGGUUACAGUCUUGCAAGCUUUCCAGCUCCUGCCUACAAAGUGAGGAGGAAUGCAAACCGUCUUGUGGCUGCUGCUGUAUGUGCGAGGACUGGAGAUAUUGCUCUGACCAUUGCUGUGACAUCUGCUGCCAGAUGUGUAUGGAUGUGUGCACUGGCCUCUGUCCUGCAGACUGCAGCUAUUCCUUCUGUUAUCUCUGCCUCACAUUGGUAGAGAACUGUCUUGGUUUUUUCCAGCAAACAAACAGAAGCAUAACGGAGACAGAAACCAGUAGCAAGUCCACAACAGCAUGCCAAGUGAUUGUCUGACAAACCAAAGGCAAAAGACUGACUUAGAGAAUAAGAAAAUGAAAAAGAAAAAGAAAGCUUUACCAGAUUGAUUGACAUGUAUGUAUUGAAGAGAGAUGGCUUCCUUCCCCACCAGCUGUUAAACCAAGCCACAGGCUGCAGAUCUGAGGCAGAAAUAAGAAACGCUGACACCUUGACAACAGAUCAUGAAUGCAAGGUGAGGUGAACAGGGGUUAAGGACUAUGGUGCUCCAUGAAAACCUGUUCUGCACUGCCAAAAAGCAGUCCUGUUGUUUAAAACUAAUGAAGACCCAGCAGGCUCAAGUGUCCUCACGCUGUAAUAAAGUACUUGGUAACACUUUCUUAUGUGCUUCCUCUGUGGUGCGCAAGGGCAAAUGUAAAGUGUAGUAAAUAGUAUAAACCUCUUUUUUUUUAUUAAGGGACCAAUACAAUGCAUUGGAAAAUAACAAGUGGAAACAGUUUGCUGUUUUUUGUUGAAAAUAGGUCGUUUUUUUUUAAAUUUCCCUUUUGUAGAAAAUUUGAAUUGUGUUCUUGUUAAGAGAAAGAGGUCUCUGAAUUAGUUUGCCUGUGUAGAAGAAACCUAGAACCGCAAUAAAUAAUAUAUAUAUAUAUAAAUAAAAAACAUAAAGCAUAUGACUGAAAAGUAUAUCAGGUGUAAAGAAAAAAACAAAAGCAAAAAUGUACAGCAUGUAAUAAGAGGUUGAAUGCGCUGAAGAGCGAGGGCAGUAUCUGUGUAUCAGUGAGGAAAGUGGAAUGGUUAUCAUUACAUGCUCCUCUUAUUUGUCAAUGGCCGUGGAUCUGUUCUCUGCAGCUGUAGACACACACACACACACACACACACACACACACACACACACACACACACACACACACACA